GGGAAGCCGGUCGAAGUCCGGCGCUGACCCGCAGCCGUAGGCCGCCCACACCGGGUGGCAAGCCGGAAUGCC
rnacentral:ncRNA from 2 species